GACCUCAGCAGCUCUCCAUGCCUUACUGUUUUCCUCUGAAUGGUGGUAUAUCCCUCCCCUUUAACAGUCACAAAAGCCAAAUCAAGGGGACCAGAAAGCAAGAACUCUGCAGAGAGAGAACCAAAGACAUGGCCCACACCCUGACAGCAGGUGAACUGUUCCUUCUAUAAUCCAGCCUACCUCCAAAUACAGGGCUGUAUGCAAAGACAUCUGUCCAGAAUUUGGGAGCUGGAGGAAGAAAGAUCAGAAGUUCAGUUCAUCCUUAGCCACAGAUCAAGUAUGAGACCAGCCUACGCUACAAGAGACCAUGUCCCAACAGAACACAACCUGUGAACCUGAGUUGGAAAGGGAACAUGGCGGGGAGGAGAGAUGUCUUAACAGGAGAAGGUACUGAACUUUCUAAAGUAGAAUAAUGCAUAUACCCCCACAGUGUUUCCUCCAGAAAACACAGUGUUAAGUAAUGGAGACAUUCAGAAGGCAUUUUGAAGACAGUAACAACAAAAGGGUUUUCCUGCCAUAACAGACUAAAAGAGAUCUGGACAUUUAUUUCCAGUGUUUAUUAGAAAAAAAAAUCUAUUUGAAUACGUAAAACAUGUACUUUCUGUAUAA